rnacentral:rRNA from 1 species
UACGUAGGGGGCAAGCGUUGUCCGGAAUCAUUGGGCGUAAAGAGCUCGUAGGCGGUUUGUCGCGUCUGCUGUGAAAAUCCAGGGCUUAACCCUGGACCUGCAGUGGGUACGGGCAGACUAGAGUGCGGUAGGGGAGAUCGGAAUUCCUGGUGUAGCGGUGAAAUGCGCAGAUAUCAGGAGGAACACCGGUGGCGAAGGCGGAUCUCGUGGGGCCGUAAACUGACGCUGAGGAGCGAAAGCAUGGGGAGCGAACAGG